CGGGAGAAAGCAGGGGACCUUCGGGCCUUGCGCUAUCAGAUGAGCCUAGGUCGGAUUAGCUAGUUGGUGAGGUAACGGCUCACCAAGGCGACGAUCCGUAACUGGUCUGAGAGGAUGAUCAGUCACACUGGAACUGAGACACGGUCCAGACUCCUACGGGAGGCAGCAGUGGGGAAUAUUGGACAAUGGGCGAAAGCCUGAUCCAGCCAUGCCGCGUGUGUGAAGAAGGUCUUCGGAUUGUAAAGCACUUUAAGUUGGGAGGAAGGGCAUUAACCUAAUACGUUAGUGUUUUGACGUUACCGACAGAAUAAGCACCGGCUAACUUCGUGCCAGCAGCCGCGGUAAUACGAAGGGUGCAAGCGUUAAUCGGAAUUACUGGGCGUAAAGCGCGCGUAGGUGGUUUGUUAAGUUGAAUGUGAAAGCCCCGGGCUCAACCUGGGAACUGCAUCCAAAACUGGCAAGCUAGAGUAUGGCAGAGGGUGGUGGAAUUUCCUGUGUAGCGGUGAAAUGCGUAGAUAUAGGAAGGAACACCAGUGGCGAAGGCGACCACCUGGGCUAAUACUGACACUGAGGUGCGAAAGCGUGGGGAGCAAACAGGAUUAGAUACCCGUGGUAGUCCACGCCGUAAACGAUGUCGACUAGCCGUUGGGAUCCUUGAGAUCUUAGUGGUCGCAGCUAACGCAUUAAGUCGACCGCCU
rnacentral:rRNA from 1 species